GCGGCUCGGUGGUUAGAGCCUAAGACUAGUAAUCGAAAGGUUUCGAGUUCGAACUUCGCAAGAGGCA
rnacentral:tRNA from 1 species